rnacentral:rRNA from 1 species
UACGGAGGGUGCAAGCAUUAAUCGGAAUUACUGGGCGUAUAGGGCGCGUAGGCGGUUUUUUAAGUCAGAUGUGAAAUACUGGGGCUCAACCUCAGUGCUGCAUUUGAAACUGGAAGGCUAGAGGAUGGAUGGAGAGAACGGAAUUCCACGUGUAGCGGUGAAAUGCGUAGAUAUGUGGAAGAACACCGGUGGCGAAGGCGGUUCUCUAAUUUAUUCCUGACGCUGAGGCGCGAAAGCAAGGGGAGCAAACAGGG